UCAAAUCUAGCCGUACAAUGUUGAAAUUAAAGACGAUUGUUUAGCAUAAGUAAGCAAACGAUCUACGGAUGUUAUCCUCAUAGGCGUUGUGGUUCUCUCAAUUUGUGCUCUUGAAAAAUUACUAGAAAAAGCACGUGGUUUAAAAGAUGGCCGAUUCGUGGCUUUGUUGUAUAAUCACCUUAAUCAAUGAGGUUUAGACCACGUUCAGAUUUGUGAUAUAGCUACUUGAUAUAGAGGAUCUUGACAUGAGACAUCAUACGAAUUAUUUGCAGUGAAAAUUAUAUUUGCGAACGUUGAUGCCAAGCUACUCUAUAUCAAGUGAUAUAGCUUGUAGUCUAGAAGGCACAUUACGGUCUACGAACCGUAUUCAAUAUAAUACAGUCCCGAUUUGCUGAUUGGGCCACAUCCAAUCCUCGACCCAACUAACGAAAUCGGUUUUUUAGUUGGGUCAACUGACAGCCAUUUGAAUACGUGCAUUUCGACUUGAACAACACAAAAAUGAUGCCCAGUGUUUACAUUGCAUUUUGACGUAUAAUUGCUUUUUAGUUGGGUCAUGGCCCAACCAGCGAAUCCCGACUGUGCUAAAAAAAUCUUUACGCCAAAAAUGUAUGAAGAAAAUUGUUUUUCUUAGCUUACACUGAUAAAAAUAUACACGUUUAAUUCAUGUGUUUCGGAAUAUGGAUGAUUUCAAUCGGCUUACACCAUCAACUCUAGUGGAUUUCACAUCGCUGAGAUGUUCUUCCCACACGCAGUUCAAAUGCCAAUGUUUAUGUCGUAUUCCAUACUUGUUACACCACGAAUUGAUGUGCAUACCAAUGGAUACUCAAAACAAAUACAAAUAUGACCCAUGUGUUUCAAAAUGUAUCAAUUUCAAUUCCACCUACACCAUGAAAUCUAAUGCAUUUCAUAUCACUGAGAUGUUCUUCACAAACUCAGUUCAAAUGACAAUGUUUAUAACCAAUUCCAUACUUGAUACACCACGAUCUCAUAUAUUUAUCUAACAAAUGUUAUGAAUUGAUUCAAACAAACUUGAGUAGGCAUUCGAACCAUCUAAUUGUGUCACUCUUUCGAAGAGAAAGCACAUGUUUCGAAUAAACUAACUUGUUUUCAGCUGAUAUUUUGUAGUAAUUUAAUGUUUUGCUAAAUUGUGGUUAAAAACAAAAAAAAAAUUUGAAUUAAGUCGAGACACUGUAGACAACGAAAUACAUAUUGGUUACGGUGGUUGAAUUUGAUGGGUUAGUAUUAAAUUAUAAAUGACAAUAUGUAAAGCCAUUUAACUAAAAAUAUCCAAAUUACAUUCCUUUAAAGAAUAAUAUAGGUACUUGACUCUUUAUGAAAAAGUCUUUAUAUUCAGCAUAUGCCUAUCUGGUAGCCCAUAGGGAGAAAUAUCGGAUUAGAAAAUGUGUUCCUAUUGACAGAGCCCGAGUUCUGCAAGGAGAGUACACCAAUAUCGCAGCAAUCCAACAAAUCACAAUCCAACAAUUUUUAUCAGAGGACUCGACAUCUCGGAACAUCGAACAAUUCAAUGGUCAGAAGCUCUCCGAUACAAUAACCACCAUCUUAUUACCAGAAUGCCUCAUCAAAACGCGUAAUUCCUUCGAAGAGACAUGCAUACCGGCAAGCUGGAAUCAACAUAUCAUGGCCAGCACAUACUUCUUGACGUUGUGGAUGACAAUGGAAUCGGUCGUAAGACAGUAAUGAAGCUUUUUGGUCCACUGAAGAUGAAGACAGCAAGGAUCUGUUCGAGUGUCGGGUGUAAAUACGACAAUGACACCUGCUGCUAUACAACCAAAUGAUUCAACUUUAUUAAUUAGGAACUUUAUUUAGCGAUGUCGAAGACAUUUUAUCUUGCAUUUUAUACAUUUGUACAAAAUUUGUUUUUAUUUCAUUUCAUCCGUCCGGAAUUCGAUUUACGUUAGAGAAUUGAAAACCAAUGAAAGAUUGUUUUUUUAUAUACCUCCACCGUUGAUUCGUUGGAAGUUAUAGCAAAACAAUGCUUUUUGAAUUGGGUUUCGAUCCGAUGACGAAAAUC